GUGACUGUGCGUUGCGCCGCGCCAAAGACUUAGCGUCGGUACCACGCCGCCCUGCUGGACACCUUGCCGCGUCCCUCCACCUUGCUGUCAGAGAGACUGCGUCCCCGCAUCACAGGUGAACCCACCUGACUGGUGGGCGGCGUCUCACUCUUAGGGGAGGGUUGUCGCCGAGGUGUGUGAGGGGAGCGUGGCGGCGUGCUGCUGCCUCGGACAGCCGGCAGGGGCGGACCCUUAAUGACAGGUCGAGGAGAAGGUGGGCUGCAGUGGAGGGGUAUUGAAGGGGGGUGGGCGGGGCUGAGGUGUGGCAGAGCUGGAGGUAGCAUUGGAAAUUAUCUGGUCGGAAUAAUAGUACUGGCUGUACUGCACAUCCACCGCCCACAAGGAAAACCUGCGUGGGGGCGGGCUGGGUGGAGCUUUAAUGGGCCCCGUGGGCGUCCUGCAGCGUGCUGGUACCGCGCCAUUCUCAGACUUCUCGGAGGCCUCGGUAGGUUGGGUAUGACCCGGGGGGCGCUCCUGGCGGGAGCUUGAUCUGGAGGGCACAGAGGGCGCAUCCCUGAAGGUAGAGAGGCUGGAGGAACUGCCCCGGAAGCUACUUGUCUGGUCUGGCCAAAUGUCAGAGCUGACCAAGUCCCGCGAGUGAUCGAAUGGACGAAAAUUAGCGGUUCUGACGACGUCCUUGUCCUUUUCUUUCCUGUCGCCUGCCAGGAAACCCGCGAGUCCCUCCGUCAGGGAGAGAAAUCUUUUACGAAGACCACUGCGGCGGCCGCGUUCUGCAGCGGGGGGCGGCGUGACGUGCUGCGCCCCACUCAGCAGAUCCAGGCUGUCGGGGCCGCCGUGACCACGAUUACGACUCCAUAAGGAUCCCGAGGAGCCCCGCCAGUCCAGCCGCCACCCCGAUGACAUAGCGUGCGUGUGGCGUGGGUGUGCGACACUUCCUCAGAUACCGUCACUAGCGCGCUGUCGCUAUCAUGUGUUCACUCUUGUCACAGUUGUCCUCAAGGGUACACGCGCCAACACCUCCAGGCCGCCCAUGGCAAUCACCUGCUCAGCCUCAACACAGCACACGCACACCAUUCACCUUCACCUUCACCUCACGACACCCAUCACGCAGGCUCUUUAACGGACCCUCGUAAGGCAGCGCGGGAUACAACACACAGGCGGUGGAGGUGACGCAGGUACCACGAGCCAACACUAAGCCUGCCCACACCACUGAGUGCCACACACUGAGUGGCACACUGGCCCGCACCCCGACCCGGACCUUACCCGCCACCGCCGCCGCCGCCGCUGUCGCAUGACCGCUAAGGGAGGAGUGCGAUGCUCAGGUAGCGGCAUUUCAGCGACAGAACGAUCGACUUUCUCUCCCGCAUUCUUGAGGAGGGACACCACCUGGGCGUGGGCUGAGGGCCUGGGUGCGCACGCCGUUCACCGCCAGGAUGUAGUCGCCGACGGAGAGGGCGUCUGAGCGGUGGGCGGGGGAGCCAGGCC